UUGACUCUGUUCCACGCUCGUCGCCAGCCUGUGCACUUGGGUUCAGCCAAACGCGUACGUUACACUCUCACUAGACUUUCUCCAGAUAUCUUGGACUUCUAAGCAGGAGACACCAUCAUUCAGAACCUGCAGCAGACCGGUCCGCGGGGCUUCCACUGGAGGAGGAGAUCACAAGGCCUUUGGACGGGUGACAGCUGGGGUCCCAACCCUACCCGACAACCUCCAGAGUUAGGAGGAAUCUAUGAUAGGAGGGGAGAGGACAGGCGAGGAGUGGACCCGGAGUUGCCACGAUGCAGCCCAACAGGCGGUCUGUCUGAAACACUUCCUCUGGUCUCAGUCCCCUCACAUGAGGCCAAAGGCUGGUGGCUAUGAACCAGUCAGGAAGGAGGGGCCAGUCAUCCAACCAGAUCCUAUUAAAGUUCACAUUCAAGGCCUUUUCAGAGUGUCUGAUUCCAUUUGACCAGAGACAUGGGACUACAGCCCCAUGAUGUGUGUUGACUGGUCCAUGCAGAACCGUGAUAUUCUACUGCCACCUAGUGCUGACUACGAGAAGUGGCAGUAUAGGCAGUGAAUAACGCCUAACACUCGCCCAACUAUGGUCCUGCCGCUACGACGUCUUCUCUCUUUCGGACUUCUUUGGGAAGAUGAAUGAAAUUUGAGCAGGCGUCAGUUCAAUAACUUUCCACAGUUGACCAAGAACUUGCUGAGAUGGCCAGGAGUAAAGCAGCCAAAACACAUGCCAUUUGACUUCAGGAACUCCACAAGUUCUUUGUGAGGCUGAUCUUUUAUUUUGUUGCAUGAAGCUAGAGUGUGAGACUCCUGGAAGUACAAACACGGCUUCUCAAAUGUGAUCCUGGUCUUGCCUGAAUUAGCUGGCAUCACAUAUGUUCCUUGAGGCCUUUUAUCUUCUGUGAAAACGUUGGUAGCGAAGCUGCUUCCACGGACUUCUCUCCUAAAAGGAUGUCUUUCCUUUUGUUCAACCUUCCCAACCGGGGUUGGUCGGCUGUCUGGUAGAUUACCGAA